CCUACGGGUGGCUGCAGUGAGGAAUAUUGGUCAAUGGACGAGAGUCUGAACCAGCCAAGUAGCGUGAAGGAUGACUGCCCUAUGGGUUGUAAACUUCUUUUAUAUGGGAAUAAAACGUUCCACGUGUGGGAUUUUGUAUGUAUCAUAUGAAUAAGGAUCGGCUAACUCCGUGCCAGCAGCCGCGGUAAUACGGAGGAUCCGAGCGUUAUCCGGAUUUAUUGGGUUUAAAGGGAGCGUAGGUGGAUUGUUAAGUCAGUUGUGAAAGUUUGCGGCUCAACCGUAAAAUUGCAGUUGAUACUGGCAGUCUUGAGUACAGUAGAGGUGGGCGGAAUUCGUGGUGUAGCGGUGAAAUGCUUAGAUAUCACGAAGAACUCCGAUUGCGAAGGCAGUUCACUGGACUGCAACUGACACUGAGGCUCGAAAGUGUGGGUAUCAAACAGGAUUAGAUACCCGUGUAGUC
rnacentral:rRNA from 1 species